rnacentral:rRNA from 1 species
UACGGGGGGGGCAAGCGUUGUUCGGACUUACUGGGCGUAAAGGGCUCGUAGGCGGCCAACUAAGUCAGACGUGAAAUCCCCAGGCUCAACCUGGGAACUGCGUCUGAUACUGGAUGGCUUGAAUCCGGGAGAGGGAUGCAGAAUUCCAGGUGUAGCGGUGAAAUGCGUAGAUAUCUGGAGGAACACCGGUGGCGAAGGCGGCAUCCUGGACCAAUAUUGACGCUGAGGAGUGAAAGCCAGGGGAGCAAACGGG